ACAGGUCCCUGACCUGACUUUCCUCUCAUGUAAAGCGACACCAAGUGGCAAGGCAAUGAGAGGGUUCAAUUAUGUUGUUCUGCAUGUGUCCCGAGGAGGGAGCCAUUACACUUUAUAAAAGCGCCGUAGAAAUGAUCACUUGGGGACUACAUCUGGAGUUGAUUACCCGUAUUUAUAUAAUAUAUACGUACAAACCUGCUUGAUCUGGGGUCUCUGAAAUAUUUUGAAUCGUUUUGAUGCACUGCCAAGCCUUCGGCCUACAUCACAAGUAACGGAAUGGUUGUAAACCUUGCCUGGAGACCAGAGGCUAAGGCCAAUUGGUAUAAAUACAAUGCCAUUGUAUGGAACACUCCUGCCAUGGCUACUUCAUUUUGCCAAACUUUGGGGCUCCUCUACAAAGGACAGAUUGGAGGUGACACCCAGACAGAGCACAGGUAUCUUCACUCGUGACCGGAUAGGCCUUUUGGCCGUUCCUACAGACAGCAUCACUGUGCAGAGGGAGGAGAUCUUUCCUACAGACAGCAUCACUGUGCAGAGGGAGGGGAUCUUUCCUACAGACAGCAUCACUGUGCAGAGGGAGGGGUCUUCCCUACAGACAGCAUCACUGUGCAGAGGGAGGGGAUCUUCCCUACAGACAGCAUCACUGUGCAGAGGGAGGGGAUCUUCCCUACAGACAGCAUCACUGUACAGAGGGAGGGGAUCUUUCCUACAGACAGCAUCACUGUGCAGAGGGAGGGGAUCUUUCCUACAGACAGCAUCACUGUGCAGAGGGAGGGGAUCUUUCCUACAGACAGCAUCACUGUGCAGAGGGAGGGGAUCUUUCCUACAGACAGCGUCCCUGCACAGUGGGAAGGGAUCCUCCCAACGGCCAGCGUCCCUGCACAGUGGGAAGGGGUCCUAG
rnacentral:lncRNA from 8 species